rnacentral:rRNA from 1 species
GAUCCUGGCUCAGAUUGAACGCUGGCGGCAGGCCUAACGCAUGCAAGUCGAACGGUAACAGGAAGAAGCUUGCUUCUUUGCUGACGAGUGGCGGACGGGUGAGUAAUGUCUGGGAAACUGCCUGAUGGAGGGGGAUAACUACUGGAAACGGUAGCUAAUACCGCAUAACGUCGCAAGACCAAAGAGGGGGGACCUUCGGGCCGUCUUGCCAUCGGAUGUGCCCACGAUGGGAUUAGCUUGUUGGUUGGGGG